AUAGGCGUUUGUGAUGUGCGAUCAUGUGCCUUCGCAAAGCAGUUGUACCUAGGUGGGUGUUGGACUUCCCACGACUCAGUUUCUUUUGGCACAGGUUGCAAAUGGCAUCGCUGUUGUCAGAGGCAGACACACAAAAAAAAUGCCACACUGCUGAGCUCUGCAAAGACGGCAUUCUGGUGGUGGCAACAGCAUGCGUUGAUUGGCGUGCUGUCUGGCUGACCCCGGGUGCCGAUGCAUGCUGUCUGACUGUGCC